rnacentral:rRNA from 1 species
UACGGGGUGGGCAAGCGUUGUUCGGAAUUACUGGGCGUAAAGGGCUCGUAGGCGGCCAACUAAGUCAGACGUGAAAUCCCCAGGCUCAACCUGGGAACUGCGUCUGAUACUGGUUGGCUUGAAUCCGGGAGAGGGAUGCAGAAUUCCAGGUGUAGCGGUGAAAUGCGUAGAUAUCUGGAGGAAUACCGGUGGCGAAGGCGGCAUCCUGGACCGGCAUUGACGCUGAGGAGCGAAAGCCAGGGGAGCAAACGGGAUUAGAAACCC